CGCCGACCGGCUGAUCGGUCGCGCCCGUCGCGCGGUAGAACGCCGCGUUCAGCGCCGCGUGCAGCAGCAUCGGCAGCGUCGCGUGCGCGUCGAGCGCCAUCGCGCGCGCGCGGCGCACGAGCGCGGCGUCGAAUUCGAACGCGAGACGGCCCGCGUCCCAGCGCGGCGCGCACGCGCGGCCCGCGCGCGGCGGCGGCAGCGCGUGCGACGGCGCGCCGGCGAGCGCCUCGCGCCAGAACGCGAGCCGCGCGUGCGGCGCGGCGGCCGGCAGCACCGGUGCGUCCGGCGCGGGCUGAGGCGCGUCGGCGGGCGCUUGUAUCGGCGCAAUCGUCGCCGAUUGCGCGGGCGCUUCCUUCGCGCGUGCCGGCGCAAGCGACGCCGCCCGCGAGCCCGCGUGCCUGUCGGUUCGCCUGUCCGCCGCUGCGCGCGCCGCCGCCGUCGCGGGUUCGUCCGCGCGCCGCGCGACGUACGCCGCGCGCACCGCGUCGAGCCACAGAUCGAUCGAUUGCCCGUCCGACACGAUGUGAUGGACGACGAGCGACAGCACGUGGUCGUGCGCGCCGAGCCGGAUCACGCGCGCGCGCCAGAGCGGCGCGUCGGCGGCGAGAUCGAACGGCGCGAGCGCGUCGGCGUCGGUCAGCGCGAUCGCGGCGGCGAGCCGCGCGUCGUCGUCCGCGAUGCGCGCGUCGGCGCGCAGGUCGACGACCGGCAGCUCGAUGCGCCGCGCCGGCGCAAUCCGCUGCCCCGGCGCGCCGUCCGCCCGCGCGACGAUCCGCGUGCGCAGCGCCGGGUGGCGGACAGCCGCAUGCGCGAGCGCAUCGGCGAGCGCAUCGACGUCGAGCGCGCCGCGCAGCCGCAGCGCGACGGGAAUGUUGUACGCGGCGCUGUCCGGCUGCGCGCGCCACAGGAACCACAGGCCGCGCUGCGCGGCCGACAGCGGCAGCACGCCGUCGGCAUCGGGCGCGUACGAUGCGCUGCCCGCGCGUUGCGGCGCGUGCGCUGGCGCGGCGGCGGCGACGCGCUGCGCGUACGGCGCGAGAAUCGGCGCCUCGAACAGCGCGCGCACCGGCACGUCGCGCGCGAGCCGCUCGGCGACGCGCGUGGCCACCCGCACCGCCGCGAGCGAAUGGCCGCCCAGCUCGAAGAAAUGAUCGGCGCGCCCGACGCGCUCGACGCCGAGCACCUCGCGCCAGAUCUCGGCGAGCGCCGUCUCGAGCUCGCCGUCGGGCGCCUCGUACGCGCGCGCGACGUGCGCGGGCUCGGGCAGCGCCGCGCGGUCGACCUUGCUGUUCGCGUUGCGCGGCAGCGCGUCGAGCACGACGAUGUGCGCGGGCACCAUGUAAUCGGGCAGCGUGCGGCGCAAAUGCGCGUCGAGCUCGGCCGCAUCCGCGCGCCGCGCGCGCGCGCGCGCGUCGCCCGUGAGCUCGACGAACGCGGCGAGCCGCGCGUGCGCGCCCUCGCCGAACACGACCGCCACCGCCUCGCGCACGUCGUCGUGCGCGGCGAGUUGCGCCUCGAUCUCGCCCAGCUCGAUGCGCAAGCCGCGCAGCUUCACCUGGUGAUCGAUGCGGCCGAUGAAGUCGAACACGCCGUCGGCGCGGCGGCGCACGAGGUCGCCCGUGCGGUACAGCCGCGCGCCCGGCGCGCCGUACGGAUCGGGCACGAAGCGCUCGGCGGUGAGCGCCGCGCGGCCCAGGUAGCCGCGUGCGAGCCCGACGCCCUCGCCGCCCAGAUACAACUCGCCGAUCACGCCGACGGGCAGCGGAUUCAGGCGCGCGUCCAGCACGUGCGCGGUGCGCGCGCCGACGAGCGUGCCGAUCGGCAGAUACGCGGCGUCCGCGAGCUUGGCGGGAUCGUCGCCCGGCGCGAACAUCCACAGCAUCGGCGUGAUCACCGUUUCGGUCGGCCCAUAGCCGUUGACGACGCGCGCGUUCGGAAACGCGCGGCGCAUCAGCGCGAACGCCUCGCGCGACGUCGCCUCGCCGCCCACCGUGAUCGAGCGCAGCGACGGCGGCGCACCGUGCUCGAGCGCCCAUUCGGCGAGCUGCGUCGCGCAGCCGGGCGGCACGUAGGUCAUCGUCACGCCUUCGCGCGCGGCGAGCGCGCAGGUGCGCGCGGGCGGCCACAGCGUGUCGGCCGUCACCGCGACGGCCGCGCCCGACAUGUACUGCGAGAACCAGCCUUCGUGCGCGCCGUCGAAAUUGACCGACUGGAACAGCAUGAACACGUCGCGCUCGGUCGCGCCGUAGCGCGCGGCGAUCGCCUCGCAAUGGCGCGCGAACGCGCCGUGAUCGACGACGACGCCCUUCGGCUUGCCGGUCGAGCCCGACGUGUAGAUCACGUACGCGGCCUGAUGCGGCGACACGGCGGGCAGCGCGACGCCGUCGAUCUCCGCGUCGGCGAUCGCGUCGUCGACAAGCCACGCGCGCGUCGCGCCCGCGAGCGGCAGCGCGUCGACGCUGCCGCGCUCGGUGAUCACGUGCGCGAUCUGCGCGUCCUCCAGCAUCUGCGCGAGGCGCUCGCGCGGGUGGCUCGGAUCGAGCGGCACGAACGCGCCGCCCGACUUGAGCGCGGCGAUCAGCCCGACGAGCAGAUCGACCGAGCGCGACAGCGCGACGCCCACGCGCAUCUCCGCGCCCACGCCCGCCGCGACGAGGCGCUUCGCGAGCCGCGUCGCGCGCGCGUCGACCUCGCCGCGCGUGAGCGCGCGCUCGAUGUCGGCGACGCCGCGCGCGUCGGGGCGGCGGCGCGCGUGCUGCGCAAUCCGGUCAUGGACCGGGACGAACGGCUCGCCGCCGGCUUGGCCGGCGCGUUCGCGGGGCACCGCCGCGCCGGCGCCGGCGCGCGCCGGCGACGCGCGCCCGGUGAAGUCGUGCGUCUGCCCGUUCCACGCGGCGAGCUGGCGGCGCUCCGCUUCGGGCAGCCAUUGCAGAUCGCCGAUCGCCGCGCCGGGCGUGUCGAGCGCGUGCGCGAGCAGCUCGACGUAGCGCGCGGCGAAGCGCUCGAUCGCGUCGGCGUCGAACAGAUCGGUCGCAUAGACGAAGCGCGCGUCGAGCCCGCCGUCGUCGCGCUCGUCGAAGCUGAGCGCGAGA
rnacentral:rRNA from 1 species